rnacentral:tRNA from 1 species
GGUAUAUAGCUCAGUUUAUAGAGUGCUUGCCUAGCAUGCACAAGGCCCAGGGUUCAAUCCCCAGUACCA